ensembl:lncRNA
CCAUUUCCUUCUCCAAUGCAUGAAAGUGAAAAGUGAAAGUGAAGUCGAUCAGUCGUGUCCGACUCUUAGCGACCCCAUGGACUGCAGCCUACCAGGCUCCUCCGUCCAUGGGGAUUUUCCAGGCAAGAGUACUGGAGUGGGGUGCCAUUGCCUUCUCCAUUAACCACUGGACCACCAGACCCCAAUGCUGCCUUUCUUAUGAGCUCAAGACUAAGUGUGCAAACAGUAAGAAGGUGGAGAGCGCCGCGUAAACAGGAUAGGCACGACCCCAGUUCAGAUCCUUACCAUCUCUUCUCUGCACCCGUUUCCUGCCUCAUCUCCUGACUCAGUAAGUCUUUCUCCACCUUGCUGCCAGCGUGACAUUACCAGGACACACAUUUGAUUGAAGCAUUUCCCUGCUGACAUCAUUCCUGCUGGUUUCUCCUCCUCAACUGUGCCAUUCAAAUGUGCUCCAGAGGCAGGGGCAGCCAGUCUGUUCAUGAUAAGUGGCCAUGUCUGGAGCAUCUCUGAGUCUCCAAAGCCUCUGGGCUGUGAACAUAUGAGGGACUGAAGUUGGAAUUAAGACUGAUAAUGAUGGAUGAAAUGGCUUCCCUGGUGGUGCAGUGGUAAAGAAUCUGUCUGCCAAUGCAGGAGACAAGGGUUUGAUCCCUGGUCCAGGAAGAUCCCAC